rnacentral:rRNA from 1 species
UACGUAGGGACCGAGCGUUGUCCGGAAUUAUUGGGCGUAAAGCGCACGUAGGCGGCAUUGCAAGUCGGAUGUGAAAUCCCUCGGCUUAACCAAGGAAGUGCAUCCGAAACUGCAGUGCUUGAGUACUUAAGAGGAUCGCGGAAUUCCCGGUGUAGAGGUGAAAUUCGUAGAUAUCGGGAGGAACACCAGUGGCGAAGGCGGCGAUCUGGGAAGAUACUGACGCUGAGGUGCGACAGCGUGGGGAGCAAACAGG